UACGGGGGGGGCAAGCGUUGUUCGGAAUUACUGGGCGUAAAGGGCGCGUAGGCGGCCGCCUAAGUCAGACGUGAAAUCCCUCAGCUUAACUGGGGAACUGCGUCUGGGACUGGAGAGCUCGAGUGCGGGAGAGGAAUGCGGAAUUCCAGGUGUAGCGGUGAAAUGCGUAGAUAUAUGGAGGAACACCGGUGGCGAAGGCGGCAUUCUGGACUGCAACUGACACUGAGGAACGAAAGCCAGGGGAGCAAACGGG
rnacentral:rRNA from 1 species